rnacentral:rRNA from 1 species
GGCAGUGCGGCAGCUACCAUGCAGUCGAGCGAGAACUUCGGUUCUAGCGGCGGACGGGUUAGUAACGCGUGGGAACGUGCCCUUCACUACGGAAUAGUCCCGGGAAACUGGGUUUAAUACCGUAUACGCCCUUCGGGGGAAAGAAUUUCGGUGAAGGAUCGGCCCGCGUUAGAUUAGAUAGUUGGUGGGGUAACGGCCUACCAAGUCUACGAUCUAUAGCUGGUUUUAGAGGAUGAUCAGCAACACUGGGACUGAGACACGGCCCAGACUCCUACGGGAGGCAGCAGUGGGGAAUCUUAGACAAUGGGCGCAAGCCUGAUCUAGCCAUGCCGCGUGAGUGAUGAAGGCCUUAGGGUCGUAAAGCUCUUUCGCCAGGGAUGAUAAUGACAGUACCUGGUAAAGAAACCCCGGCUAACUCCGUGCCAGCAGCCGCGGUAAUACGGAGGGGGUUAGCGUUGUUCGGAAUUACUGGGCGUAAAGCGCGCGUAGGCGGAUUGGAAAGUUGGGGGUGAAAUCCCAGGGCUCAACCCUGGAACUGCCUCCAAAACUAUCAGUCUAGAGUUCGAGAGAGGUGAGUGGAACUCCGAGUGUAGAGGUGAAAUUCGUAGAUAUUCGGAAGAACACCAGUGGCGAAGGCGGCUCACUGGCUCGAUACUGACGCUGAGGUGCGAAAGUGUGGGGAGCAAACAGGAUUAGAUACCCUGGUAGUC